ACGGAAGGCAGCAGUAGGGAAUAUUGCACAAUGGGGGGAACCCUGAUGCAGCAACGCCACGUGUGGGAAGAAGCAUUUCGGUGUGUAAACCACUGUCGGGAGGGAAUAAUGCUAUGUCUCGGAAUAGUUGAAUGUACCUCGAAAGGAAGCACCGGCAAACGUCGUGCCAGCAGCCGCGGUAAUACGAGGGGUGCAAGCGGUGUUCGGAAUCACUGGGCGUAAAGGGAGCGUAGGCGGAGCUGCAAGCAGUCUGUUCAAUCCCGGGGCCUAACCCCGGAUCUGCAGUCUGGACUGUGUCUCUUGGAUAGUUCAGGGGCAGGCGGAAUUCCUGGUGUAGCGGUGGAAUGCGUAGAGAUCAGGAAGAACACCGAUGGCGAAGGCAGCCUGCUGGGGACUCAUCGGCGCUGAGGCUCGAAAGUGCGGGUAGCAAACAGGAUUAGAUACCUUGGUA
rnacentral:rRNA from 1 species